GAGGAAAAGAAACCAACAGGGAUUGCCCUAGUAACGGCGAGCGAAGCGGCAACAGCUCAAAUUUGAAAUCUGGCUACUUUGUAGUCCGAGUUGUAAUUUGUAGAGGAUGCUUUUGGUGAGGUGCCUUCCGAGUUCCCUGGAACGGGACGCCAGAGAGGGUGAGAGCCCCGUACGGUUGGAUACCAAACCUUUGUAUAGCUCCUUCAACGAGUCGAGUAGUUUGGGAAUGCUGCUCUAAAUGGGAGGUAUAUCUCUUCUAAAGCUAAAUAUAGGCUAGAGACCGAUAGCGCACAAGUAGAGUGAUCGAAAGAUGAAAAGCACUUUGAAAAGAGAGUUAAACAGCACGUGAAAUUGUUGAAAGGGAAGCGCCUAUGACCAGACUUGUUUCUUUCAGUUUUGUUAGUUCUCGGACUGAUUUACUCUGUUAGUACAGGCCAGCAUCAGUUUGUUGUCGGGGAGAAAGGCUUAGGGAAUGUGGCUCCUUCGGGAGUGUUAUAGCCCUUUGCAUAAUACCCUUCGGCAGACUGAGGACCGCGCUUCGGCAAGGAUGCUGGCGUAAUGGUCAUCAGCGACCCGUCUUGAAACACGGACCAAGGAGUCAACCUUAUGUGCGAGUGUUUGGGUGUAAAACCCCAGCGCGUAAUGAACGUGAACGUAGGUGAGAGCUUCGGCGCAUCAUCGACCGAUUCUGAUGUUCUCGGAUGGAUUUGAGUAAGAGCACACAGGGUUGGACCCGAAAGAAGGUGAACUAUGCUUGUAUAGGGUGAAGCCAGAGGAAACUCUGGUGGAGGCUCGCAGCGGUUCUGACGUGCAAAUCGAUCGUCAAAUAUGAGCAUGGGGGCGAAAGA
rnacentral:rRNA from 1 species